CUACUAUAUAAUGCAAUUUCUGCAGCUCAUAGCAUGCAUCUUUCAACCCUAGCCCACUUGCACAUUCCAGCCAUGCCACCAACCACCACCACCACUGAACCCCAUGUUGUGGUCUUCGCCUUCCCCUUCGGCACCCACGCAGCCCCACUCUUCUCCGUCAUCCACCGGCUUGCCACUUUUUCUCCAAACACCCACUUUUCUUUCUUCAACACCUCAGAAUCCAACACCUCCAUCUUCUCCGCUUCUAAAUACAACACGUUACCAAACAUCAAAGUCAGUGACGUGUGGGACGGUAUCCGUGAAGGCUAUACGUUUUUGGGGAAGCCCCAGGAGAAAAUUGAGCUGUUCUUGAAAGCAGCUCCUGAGAGCUUCAGGAAGAGCAUCAAGGAAGCGGUUGCAGAGACUGGAAGGAAAGUCACCUGUUUACUGACUGAUGCGUUUUUUUGGUUCGCGGCUGAAAUGGCGGAGGAGAUAAGAGUGGAUUGGGUGGCGUUUUGGACUAGUUCGCCUGCAGCCGUUUCUGCUCAUUUUUACACUGAUUUUAUCAGGGAAAAUUUUGGAGCUGGAGAUACAGUGGAGAAAGAUCAAACCCUCCAUUUAAUUCCAGGAUUCUCUAAAGUUCAAAUUCGUGAUUUACCAGAGGAAGUGCUGCUUGGAAACUUGGAAUCAAUCUUCUCCCGAAUGCUUCACAAAAUGGGAAAUAUGUUACCCAGAGCAGCUGCAGUCUUCUUGAACUCAUUUGAAGAACUAGAUCCUAUCAUAAUAAAUGACUUGAACUCCAAAUUCAAGAGAUUCCUCUGUACUGGACCCUUCAACUUGGUUUCGUCACCAUCACAAGUGCCAGACACAAAUGGUUGCAUAGCGUGGCUUUACAAGCAAAAACCUGCAUCAGUGGCAUA
rnacentral:misc_RNA from 1 species